AUUCUUUCUCCGGAUUCCGCCAGUCACGUAUUGAACUCUGACAAUUACAACUAGUUCAGGCGAACGAUGGGUAUUAUAGGAAUAAGGAAUAUACCUCGACGGCCGCCGCGACGGCGAAACGAAAGAUUUUAGCUACACCGAGUAAAUAACACUCGACUUGAAACGUUUGUUUAAUUCUUUCAGAUUCGCACAAGUGAUUUAUAUUUGUUGCGCGGUAAGUCAGAUAAGUACUGCACUGCACUUCGCGGAAUAAUAAUAUAACUGGAGAUUUGGUUGUUGUUCCCGAGGGAGAAACGCAUAUUUUGGACAUCUAAAGAACUAUAUUAUAGUCGUCUCGACCAGGCGCUAAAAACAAUACGGAUAAGUCGUGUUCUUCCGUGUAACAUCAACAGAAUAAUACGUUGACGCCGUGCCGCCUCUAGCUGUUGUCUCAUUGCCAAAACUCUGACACGACUACCAUUUCAGACCAUUUGGCCGUUAGUUCGAAGAACGUAAAGUAAUCCAUUUUUCAUUAAAACGCAGCUAUUGUGGCAGACGCGUGGUCAAAAUUUGAAAUGGUCUACAACGAUCUAUUGGUCGACGCUUAAAGCUCGAUGUGUAAUGUUGUUUAUUCUAAUUCAGAACUCAUAUAAAUCACCAGCAAGCCGAAUUUUCACAAUAAACGACAGUUGGACCGUCGUAUUUUUUUAUUAUUAUUAAGAUUGUCUUCUAAAAA